GAUGAACGCUGGCGGCGUGCCUAAUACAUGCAAGUAGAACGCUGAAGGAGGAGCUUGCUCUUCUGGAUGAGUUGCGAACGGGUGAGUAACGCGUAGGUAACCUGCCCGGUAGCGGGGGAUAACUAUUGGAAACGAUAGCUAAUACCGCAUGACAACAGUUAUUGCAUGAUAACUGUUUAAAAGGGGCAACUGCUCCACUACCAGAUGGACCUGCGUUGUAUUAGCUAGUUGGUGAGGUAACGGCUCACCAAGGCGACGAUACAUAGCCGACCUGAGAGGGUGAUCGGCCACACUGGGACUGAGACACGGCCCAGACUCCUACGGGAGGCAGCAGUAGGGAAUCUUCGGCAAUGGACGGAAGUCUGACCGAGCAACGCCGCGUGAGUGAAGAAGGUUUUCGGAUCGUAAAGCUCUGUUGUAAGAGAAGAACGAGUGUGAGAGUGGAAAGUUCACACUGUGACGGUAUCUUACCAGAAAGGGACGGCUAACUACGUG
rnacentral:rRNA from 1 species